AAAAGUAAUGUAAUAUAUUAAGAAAACUAAUAAUAAAAAAACGUGUAUAUAUGUAUAUGAAAAUCAUGAAAAUAAAAUAAAAGGAUAAAAGUAUGCACAUGAGUAUAUAUUUACAAAAUAAAAGAAAUAUAUAUGUAUAUCUAUAAAAUAUAAAGUAUAUAAAAAUGAAAAAAACAAUAUAACAACGUACCAAAAAAAUAAAAAAAAAUAUGCAUGCGUUUAUAAAGUUUAAAUAUAUAAUAUAAAAAAAUAUGUAUAUGUAUACUAUAUAAAAGAUGCGUGUCUAAAUAUAGAAAUGAUAAUAAUUAUGGCCAUAAUAAUGCUAAUAAUAAUAACAAAAAAAAUAAUGGUAGAGCAUAAUCACGAUAAUAACAUUUAAAAAUAAAAUAGUUAAAAAAAUGAUCCAGAUUGAACAAAAGACAGAAAAAAGGGGGUAAAUUCGAAAUAAAUAAAAAAAAGACCAAC
rnacentral:lncRNA from 1 species